rnacentral:rRNA from 1 species
UACGUAGGUGGCAAGCGUUGUCCGGAAUUAUUGGGCGUAAAGCGCGCGCAGGCGGCCUCUUGAGUCUGAUGUGAAAGCCCCCCGGCUCAACCGGGGAGGGCCAUUGGAAACUGGGAGGCUUGAGUAUAGGAGAGAAGAGUGGAAUUCCACGUGUAGCGGUGAAAUGCGUAGAGAUGUGGAGGAACACCAGUGGCGAAGGCGACUCUUUGGCCUAUAACUGACGCUGAGGCGCGAAAGCGUGGGGAGCAAACAGG